UACGAAGGGGGCUAGCGUUGCUCGGAAUCACUGGGCGUAAAGCGCACGUAGGCGGAUCGUUAAGUCGGAGGUGAAAUCCUGGAGCUCAACUCCAGAACUGCCUUCGAUACUGGCGAUCUUGGAGUCCGGGAGAGGUGAGUGGAACUCCGAGUGUAGAGGUGAAAUUCGUAGAUAUUCGGAAGAAACACCAGUGGCGAAGGCGGCUCACUGGCCCCGGUACUGACGCUGAGGUGGCGAAA
rnacentral:rRNA from 1 species